rnacentral:lncRNA from 1 species
GAGAAAGCAAAAGAAAAGACGAGAGAAAGCAUGGACAGAACAAAAGAACAAGCGGAAGAAGUGAAAGACAGAGCAAAACAACGUGCGGAGGACAUGGCAGAGAAGGCCAAAGAAGGAACCUAUAAAGCAACGGAAACAGCGGAAGAGGCGAAGGAGAAAGCGAAAGAACGUACGCGUGAGAUGAAGGAGAAGACGAGCGACAUGGCGGAAUCCGCAGCGGAUAGGGCCAAAGAAGGAACGGACAAAGCAACCGAAACAGCGGAGCAGGCAAAGGAGAGCGCGAAAGAACGCGCACGAGAGGCGAAGGAGAAGACGAGCGACAUGGCGGCAUCGGCGGCGGAUAAGGCCAAACAAGGAGCCUCUAAAGCAACCGAAACAGUGGGGGCGGUGGUGGAUAAAGCAAAGGAAGGAAA